CAUCUAUGGAUUUUUUUCAUUUUCAAAUUUGUUAGCUCCAACUGUUGUUGCAAUAAUUGGACCACAGUUUACAAUGUUUUUCAGUGGAAUUCUUUACAGUGGUUACGUAGCUGUAUUCCUCACCCCAUCAACAUGGUCCUUUUACUUCACCUCAGUACUAAUCGGCAUAGGAGCAGCCAUGCUUUGGACAGCCCAAGGACACUUCCUUGUGGAGAACUCUGAUGCUUCCACCAUCAAUAGGAACACAGGGAUGUUUUGGGCCCUUUUACAGUGCAGCAUGUUAUUUGGCAAUCUGUACAUUUAUUUUGAUUGGAAUGGAAGGAUAGAAAUAUCAGGUA